rnacentral:rRNA from 1 species
GACGAACGCUGGCGGCGUGCUUAACACAUGCAAGUCGAACGGGUCUGCCCUGUUUUUUGCGGGGUGGGUCAGUGGCGAACGGGUGAGUAACACGUGAGUAACCUGCCCCUCACUUCUGGAUAACCGCUUGAAAGGGUGGCUAAUACGGGGUGUUCUGGCUGUGCCGCAUGGUGUGGCUGGGAAAGAUUCACUUUUGUGGUGUUUUGGUGGGGGAUGGGCUCGCGGCCUAUCAGCUUGUUGGUGGGGUGAUGGCCUGCCAAGGCUUUGACGGGUAGCCGGCCUGAGAGGGUGGGCGGUCACACUGGGACUGAGAUACGGCCCAGACUCCUGCGGGAGGCAGCAGUGGGGGGUAUUGCACAAUGGGCGGAAGCCUGAUGCAGCGACGUCGCGUGAGGGAUGGAGGCCUUCGGGUUGUGAACCUCUUUCGCCGGUGAAGAGGGUCCUGCUCUUUGUGGUGGGGUUGACGGUAGCCGGGUUAUGAAGCGCCGGCUAACUACGU